rnacentral:rRNA from 1 species
UACGGAGGGAGCUAGCGUUGUUCGGAAUUACUGGGCGUAAAGCGCACGUAGGCGGCUUUGUAAGUUAGAGGUGAAAGCCUGGAGCUCAACUCCAGAACUGCCUUCGAUACUGGGAGUCUUGAGUCCGGGAGAGGUGAGUGGAACUGCGAGUGUAGAGGUGAAAUUCGUAGAUAUUCGCAAGAACACCAGUGGCGAAGGCGGCUCACUGGCCCGGUACUGACGCUGAGGUGCGAAAGCGUGGGGAGCAAACAGG